AACGAACGCUGGCGGCAUGCCUAACACAUGCAAGUCGAACGAGACCUUCGGGUCUAGUGGCGCACGGGUGCGUAACGCGUGGGAACCUGCCCUUAGGUUCGGAAUAACUCCCCGAAAGGGGGGCUAAUACCGGAUAAUGUCUUCGGACCAAAUAUUUUUCGUCUUUGGAUGGGCCCGCGUUGGAUUAGCUAGUUGGUAUGGUAAGAGCCUACCAAGGCGACGAUCGAUAGCUGGUCUGAGAGGAUGAUCAGCGACACUGGGACUGAGACACGGCCCAGACUACUACGGGAGGCAGCAAUGGGGAAUCUUGGACAAUGGGCGAAGUCCUGAACCAGCAAUGCCGCGUGAGUGAUGAAGGCCUUAGGGUUGUAAAGCUCUUUUAUCCGGGAUUAUAAUGACAGUACCGGGAGAAUAAGCACCGGCUAACUCCGUG
rnacentral:rRNA from 1 species